rnacentral:rRNA from 1 species
AGCAGCCGCGGUAAUUCCAGCUCCAAUAGCGUAUAUUAAAGUUGUUGCAGUUAAAAAGCUCGUAGUUGAAUUUCGGGGUUAGUAGGUUGGUCAUGCCUCUGGUAUGUACUGGUCUCACUGAUUCCUCCUUCCUGAUGAACCUUAAUGCCAUUAAUUUGGUGUUUUGGGGAAUUUGGACUGUUACUUUGAAAAAUUAGAGUGUUUAAAGCAAGCUAACGCUUGAAUACAUUAGCAUGGAAUAAUGAAAUAGGACGUUCGAUCCUAUUUUGUUGGUUUCUAGGAUUGACGUAAUGAUUAAUAGGGAUAGUUGGGGGCAUUAGUAUUCAAUUGUCAGAGGUGAAAUUCUUGGAUUUAUUGAAGACUAACUACUGCGAAAGCAUUUGCCAAGGAUGUUUUCAUUAAUCAAGAACGAAAGUUAGGGGAUCGAAGACGAUCAGAUACCGUCGUAGUCUUAACCAUAAACUAUGCCGACUAG